rnacentral:tRNA from 1 species
GUCACUUUGCCGGAGUGGUUAACGGGAUCGCCUGCUAUUUCAUAGCCUAGCGGUUGGUCUUUGACCGCGAGUGUUCGAAUCGCUCAGGUGACG